AUAAGAUGUGUUUGCACUUGCUCUGUCUGACCCAGGCUGCCGGCCCUGAGAUGAGAAAUGUUCCCUCAGAAGCGAUGGUGUCAUUUGAAGAUGUGGCUGUGAACUUCACAUGGCAGGAGUGGCGGUACCUGAGUGAAGCUCAGAGGACCCUGUACUGGGAUGUGAUGCUGGAGACCUGCAAUCACCUAGUGUCCCUAGGGCACUGUGUUACCGAUCCUGAGGAGAGCAUCAGGUCGGAGCAGGGAUUACAGCCGUGGACUGUGGACGUUCCCCCAAACCAGGACCUCUCAGAUGUCCAUACUGUGGAUCACCUGACUCAGGACAGCCCUGCAAAUCAGGGCAGACAUGUGUGGCAAGUUCUUACCACCAGCAGCAAAAUACCAUCCAACGAGAGAACUGACUUAAUGGAAAAAAGCAAUUUGCACUCAAUUCAUUGUUUGAACCAUAGUAUCAAAAAUGAAAACAAUUCAGCAAUGAUGCCUGAGAACUUUACUAUA